rnacentral:rRNA from 1 species
GUGUAAGUAUAAAUAAUUUUACUUUGAAACUGCGAAUGGCUCAUUAUAUCAGUUAUAGUUUAUUAGAAAUAYUUUACUACUUGGAUAACCGUAGUAAUUCUAGGGCUAAUACAUGAGUAAAWCCUCAACUUCGGAAGAGGUGUGUUUAUUAGUAUGAAAACCAUAUAUCUUCGGAUAUAAUAGUGAGUAAUAAUAACCUUUCRUAUCGUAUGUCGUAAGAUAACGAUAGUUCUUUCAAGUUUCUGCCCUAUCAGCUUUCGAUGGUAGUAUAUGGGACUACCAUGGCAGUAACGGGUAACGAAGAAUUUGGGUUCGAUUUCGGAGAGGGAGCCUGAGAGAUGGCUACCACAUCCAAGGAAGGCAGCAGGCGCGUAAAUUACCCAAUCCUGACAUAGGGAGGUAGUGACAAUAAAUCACAAUGCGGAACUUUUAGUUUUGCAAUUGGAUUGAGAACAAUGUACAAAUGUUAUCGAUAAACAAUUGGAGGGCAAGUCUGGUGCCAGCAGC